GACGAACGCUGGCGGCGUGCCUAAUACAUGCAAGUCGAGCGAACUUUUAAAAGCUUGCUUUUAAAAGUUAGCGGCGGACGGGUGAGUAACACGUGGGCAACCUGCCUGUAAGACUGGGAUAACUCCGGGAAACCGGGGCUAAUACCGGAUAAUUCAUUCCUCCUCAUGAGGGGAUGCUGAAAGACGGUUUCGGCUGUCACUUACAGAUGGGCCCGCGGCGCAUUAGCUAGUUGGUGAGGUAACGGCUCACCAAGGCAACGAUGCAUAGCCGACCUGAGAGGGUGAUCGGCCACACUGGGACUGAGACACGGCCCAGACUCCUACGGGAGGCAGCAGUAGGGAAUCUUCCGCAAUGGACGAAAGUCUGACGGAGCAACGCCGCGUGAGUGAUGAAGGCUUUCGGGUCGUAAAACUCUGUUGUUAGGGAAGAACAAGUAUGAGAGUAACUGCUCGUACCUUGACGGUACCUAACCAGAAAGCCACGGCUAACUACGUGCCAGCAGCCGCGGUAAUACGUAGGUGGCAAGCGUUAUCCGGAAUUAUUGGGCGUAAAGCGCG
rnacentral:rRNA from 1 species